rnacentral:misc_RNA from 1 species
ACUGCCACCCAGAGGGUUCU